UACGGAGGGGGCUAGCGUUGUUCGGAAUUACUGGGCGUAAAGCGCACGUAGGCGGCUUUGUAAGUUAGAGGUGAAAGCCCAGGGCUUAACCCUGGAAUUGCCUUUAAGACUGCAUCGCUAGAAUUGUGGAGAGGUGAGUGGAAUUCCGAGUGUAGAGGUGAAAUUCGUAGAUAUUCGGAAGAACACCAGUGGCGAAGGCGACUCACUGGACACAUAUUGACGCUGAGGUGCGAAAGCGUGGGGAGCGAACAGG
rnacentral:rRNA from 1 species